CCUACGGGGAGCAGCAGUGAGGAAUAUUGGUCAAUGGGCUUACGCCUGAACCAGCCAAGUCGCGUGAGGGAAGACUGCCCUAUGGGUUGUAAACCUCUUUUGUCAGGGAGCAACGCCGGCUACGUGUAGCCGGUCUGAGAGUACCUGAAGAAAAAGCAUCGGCUAACUCCUGGCCAGCAGCCGCGGUAAUACGGAGGAUGCGAGCGUUAUCCGGAUUGAUGGGGGUUAAAGGGUGCGUAGGGGGAAUGCCAAGGCAGCGGUAAAAUCGCGGGGGUCAAACUCGCUCCGCCGUUGAAACUGGCGUUCUUGAGUGGGCGAGAAGUAGGCGGAAUGCGUGGUGUAGCGGUGAAAUGCGUAGAUAUUAGGAGGAACACCAGUGGCGAAGGCGGCCUGCUGGGCUUUUACUGACGCUGAGGCUCGAAAGUGUGGGGAGCAAACAGGAUUAGAUACCCGUGUAGUC
rnacentral:rRNA from 1 species